CACCAUUGUGUGGCUGGACUCGGCCGCCGCUGCGGUGUGAGGCGCGUGUACAGGCUCUCGCUGUCCCCGCACCCGCACCGCGGCUUUUGCCUUGCGGUCCGUUGUUCGAUAGCCAGCCUUCGGGGCCCCUGCCCGCCACGGACAUGCCGCGCGUCUACAUAGGACGCCUUAGCUACAACGUCCGGGAGAAGGACAUCCAGCGCUUUUUCAGUGGCUAUGGCCGCCUCCUCGAAAUAGACCUCAAAAAUGGGUACGGCUUCGUGGAGUUCGAGGACUCCCGCGACGCCGACGACGCCGUUUACGAGCUGAACGGCAAAGAGCUCUGCGGCGAGCGCGUGAUCGUGGAGCACGCUCGGGGCCCGCGCCGCGAUCGCGACGGCUACAGCUACGGAAGCCGCAUGACCAAUGGGGCUGAGGCUGUGUCCACUGAGGCUAAGAUGACUGCCUUUCCUGAUUGGCCUUGGCUUUUCCAUACAUUGUGUGACCCUUGCCCUAUGACCCUUUGGCUGACCUUACCGGAAGCCAUGACGACAGCAGCCUUUUGCCAUUAGACGCAGGGUGAUGGUGAGGAUUCCAAGGGUUAGACAAAACUGGUUAAUCUGAACUAGGUGACUGUUACCUUGCGUGUUUUGUGGCCAAACCACCACCAAAAACCUCACACUGUGAUGUAAGUACUUAGUGUAACUAGUAAACAUUUUUGUAAAAUGUAGAAAUGCAUGUAAUCAGUUAAGUUUUAUAUUUUACAAUGUUCUGUAAAAUAAAACUUAGCGAGGUAAAUUGAAUAAAGGAGCAGUCACUCUCUAACAGAUUGUAGGAGAAGUUUAGUUGGAUUUAGUCUAUUUGACUUGCCCUUAAUUUAAUUUAUGGCAAAUCACAACUGUAUCGAAGGUUUAGCAAUAUAAUAGCAAAGUCCUACUCCAGUAUAUAAAAGUUGAUAUGUUUGUACUAACUUUCAAGAAAACAUGCAUUCCUAUCAUUACAAAGCAUCUAAUUAUUCUCUUCAUGUGAUAAAGGUGGUGGAGGUGGAUACAGCAGUCGGAGAACCUCUGGCAGAGACAAAUACGGACCACCUGUUCGUACAGAAUUCAGGCUUAUUGUAGAAAACCUUUCUAGUCGUUGCAGUUGGCAAGAUUUAAAGGAUUUCAUGAGACAAGCAGGUGAAGUAACCUAUGCGGAUGCUCACAAAGAACGCACAAAUGAAGGCGUGAUUGAGUUCCGUUCCUACUCUGACAUGAAGCGUGCUCUGGAUAAACUGGAUGGUACAGAAAUAAAUGGCAGGAAUAUUAGGCUCAUUGAGGAUAAACCACGAACAAGCCAUAGGCGAUCUUACUCUGGAAGCAGAUCAAGGUCACGGUCUAGAAGAAGGUCACGAAGUAGGAGUCGCAGGAGCAGCCGCAGUAGAUCUCGAAGUAUCUCAAAAAGCCGCUCCCGAUCCAGGUCUCGGAGCAAAGGUCGAUCACGUUCUCGAUCAAAAGGCAGGAAAUCUAGAUCAAAAAGCAAAUCAAAGCCCAAGUCUGAUCGGGGCUCCCGUUCGCGCUCUCGAAGCAGAUCUAAGGAGUAUGAGAAAUCUCGAAGCAGGUCUCGUUCUCGAUCUCGUUCCCCCAAAGAAAAUGGAAAAGGUGAUAUAAAGUCAAAAUCUAGAUCAAGAAGCCAGUCUCGUUCAAAUUCACCCCUACCUGCCCCACCCUCAAAGGCACGGUCCGUGUCCCCUCCACCAAAAAGAGCCUCAAGAUCCCGCUCUAGAUCUCAUUCAAAGUCAAGAUCACGAUCCAGAUCGAGUUCCAGAGAUUAACCUAGAACUCUGUAUUCUUUGCACACUAUUAUGGAACACUUUCCUACUUGCUUAGGCAGUUCCUCUUCCAUGUUUGUACUUGGCCUCUUCUGCAAGAGGAAUCUCCUGAAAAUGGGGCACACAGAAAUUUAAUUUGUGGCCAAAUUUGAUGAAAAAAAAAAAUGAGGUUCUAAAGAAAUGGUGGCAUGAAGUCAAAGACCCUCUCCCUUCUUUGUAGAAUUAAGAUAACUUUGAUUUUAUAGCUUUUGAGCUAAAAUAACUUUUGUAAAGAUUAAGCUCAUUUAGAUUUUUUUUUUAAGUAUUUCAGCAGGAUCUGCUGCAGGGAUUUUGUUGUUUUGUUUGCUUUUAAAUUAACCGUUUCAAGCUUUGAAUACCUAAGGCUUUAGAGGGAGAUCCCGAUUUUCAAUUAUGUUGGCUUUUUAUAAAGCUUGAGUUAUGUAAGAUUUCAAUAAAAAUUUGCUACCAAGUUGAUUGCCUUACUGAAUAGGUCACUUAAAUUCCUUUAAAUAUUGAUAAUUUGUUCUUUGUGAAACUGUAAAUUACAUAAGUGUAAAAGAAGGCAAGUCUCAGACCAGCAAUAAAUUAUUCCAUUUGGAUAACAUUUGUGCUGUUAAUCAAAUUUGCCAAAGUCUAUCUGCCCCUUUGAGUUAAGUUAAAAAUAAAAGGUAUUUUGUAGUCCGUUACAUGAUUUUGCCUAAAUUAGUAGGUUUUAAAUAAUGAAACUUUUUAAACUUAAGUUUGCUCAAACUCUUGGAAGAAGUAGUUCUUAACACUUGGGAUCCCAUUUAGCCUAGUAAUUCUACUUUCUGGAAGUGGUCAGUGUAAUUAGUGUUUUGUUAGAGUAUGGUUCUGUGGUCUUCAAUGUUUGUUAUAUAAAAAUGGAAGUAGCCUUUCUUUGAUUGGAAAUUUAGUUUAUUCUUGUUCAAAGUGGGAAAGCAAAUACUGCAUUUUCUGCUGGAAGAUCAUUACAUUUAACAGGCACUUAACAGGUUGCUUGGUAAAAUCAGUUGCUUAUUAAAGUAAAAUUCUACCCAACAGUCAGUCCUCCUUGUAGUUGAUGAGGUUAUGUAAUAAUGGGUUAGAUCAUCCCUGUAACUUUACGACAUAUGGUUGGCUUGAAAAGGAUUUGCGUAGAUAAACCCUAACCUUUCUGUACUUUAUUAUGAAGUGUAAUAUGCUAUGGAAGCCAAAUUAUACUGCAAAUUUGUAGGAGGUACUGGGUAACCAGUUAGUCCCUGUAUCUGUAGACCUAAUUAGUUGAAAUUGCAGUUUGAGAAAUGAAUUACCUUAGAUCUUUUUGUUCAGGUACUUUUCAAUGAAAUUAAAGCACUCAUUAACCUUGGUUUGGAACUGAGAUGUAGGUUAUUUGACUCAGCUUUUGUAUCUUCUAGGAACUGUCACUGUAGGAUCAAGGGCUGGGUUGUACUAUAUGAUAGGGCAUGAUGGUAUGGUGCUCAUCGUGCCGCAGGUAUGACUAGAAAGCAUGAUAAUCUAGAGUUGGUUUAUAGGUUCAAAUAAUCCAGAAGGCAUACCUGAUAAAAUGAGGCUACUUUAAAAAAAAGGAGUCAAAGAUUUUAGGCAUCAGAAUCAGAGUAGCAGGGAGUACUUGAUAAUGAGUAAAAAGACUUGUUUUUGAGAAAUUUCUGGGCUUCCUUUUACAAAAUCUUAGAGCCUACUCUUAGGAAUAUAGUGCCCCAAAAGAUUAAUGCUUCUUCCAUAACCUUAUUUUCUUUACUUUCAUACUUCCUAAAAUUUAGAUAUUCAUAUGAAAUGGGUUUUUUUUUCCAGUAUAAACUUCAGGAUUUCAGAGAAGACACUGGUGUCUACAGUCGUAGUUCAUUAUUUUGCCUACUUGAAAGAACAGAAAUUACAAACAACUCUUACAUGAAGAGGCACAUCUCCAGCUGCCUUUCAAAAUUUGGUUUAAGAAUUGGCUUUGACCAAAGGUCUCUUGUUUUCAGGGAAAAAACAAAAGCUUUUAAAACCACAGCCUUUUAAAAAGGAAGGGGGGGAAAUAGCACAAUGUGAAAUUUGACUUUGUAAAGUCAUCCUUCAACUGGGCUUUCUUGUAUUAGUGUAACAUCACAUGGUAAUAGGUUUUGUGUACAUUGUUAGCUGCCCCCAAAGUGGGUAAUUGGAAGGUAAAUGCCUAUACCCAUAAGUUUUCUGGUAACAGUAAAGACCAACUUAGUGAAAACCUAGUCCUAGUCCAUACCUGUGGACCUGUACAUCAUUGGAUAUGCUAAAGCCCUAGAACACUGACCCACUUAAGAGCAGAGUUCACUGAAAUGUUUAGUUCUUGCUGACUUAUAAGUAGAAUCUGAGCGUCUGCAAUAUGCCAUGUGUACAUCUGUGGCUGGAUAGAGUAUUAAACAGAGAGCAAAAACAGAAAUGAGCAACAUGAGGAUUCCCCUUUCUUUUACCUGAUAAUGUUGUUUGAUACGCCAUAGUGCCUUUAAGGCCAGUUUGAGUCCUACCAGUUCCUGUGAUGACGUUCCAGUCCUGUGUUGUUACUACCUUCAUCUUGGUAUUUUCUUUUUCCCACUUUGUUAACCCACUUUAUGCUUUAUCUCCUCAAUAAAAUGCUUACUGAGGGAAA